rnacentral:lncRNA from 1 species
AUGGUUUUGAGCAGAGGAAGGAAGUAGCUUGAUUAAACUUGUAAAGGAUCAUUCUCGCUGCUCUGUGAAUACCAGACUUUAAAGCCAAGAGCAGAAGCAGGAUGGCAUUUUGGCCUGCUAUUUGGGAAUUUGGUCCAGUUGAGAAAUGAUGGUGUCUUGGACUACAGUUGCUGUGGAGAUGAUUACUAGCAAGGAAAGCUGAGUGAAAUUCUUCCUUCUAUGACACAUGGGAGAGCUGGCAGACUAUAAAGAGGCGACAGCACUGUCAGCAGCCCUGUCCUGGCAGGGACUUGUGUUAUGGUCGGGGUGCAUACCGCUGCUCACAAGGCUCGAAGAGGUGCCGAGUAAGAUCAUGAGCCUCCUAACAAGGCCUGCAUAGUACACCAGGCCCAGCAAGCCUUCCAGUGUUGCCGAACAACACAAAGCAAACAACUCCUCGCCUCCUAUAAGAAGUUGUAGAAUGGAAAGCAGCCUAAGUUUGAAGAAGCAAGCUGCUGUAAGCCCUAGAGCCACAACAAAAUGAGUUAUGCCAACAACCUGAGUCAGCUUGGAAGCGGGCCUUGCCUAGUAGAGACUCCAGAUGAGAAUGCAGCCCUGGCCAACACCUUGAUUGAAGACUUGCAGAGGACCCAACUAGGCCAUGUGCGAACUCCUGACCCAAAGGAACUUUGAGAUAAUAAAUGUGUGUUGUUUUAAGCUGCUAUGUGUAUGGUUAUUUGGUACACAGCAGAAAAAACUAAUGCACCAGGCACACUUCG